CCCGCAGGCCGCUGUUCCUUCCCCAAGCGGAACUGAGACGAUAGAAGUCUAUUUUUCUAUAGACGGCAUGCGUGUAACGAGCGGGAAACGAUGCGGUUUUUCAAAAGGAAACGCACAAAAAGAUGAGGAAUAACGUUUGGGAAGACACCGUUGAAGCCCAUAUGCUUCAUAUUGGAGAUGAGGGACUUUCAUCACGUCGUAUGAAAUGUUAUUGAAACUUUGGAAACUGAAUUUUGCUCAACGAUGUAAAAAGAUGGCUGUCUGAUUGACCCCCUCCCCGCCGCGUGGGCUUCGUCCACCAUCUUUGGCGUAACAUACAGAACGCCUCCCUGCGGAUACGACGAGGACAGCUUGUCAGAGACGUCUUUCUUUCCGCCGUCUCCUUCCUCAGAAGGAGCACGAACCCCUGAAACUCAAAAGCGUUUCCCCGUCAGCUCCUCACGCCGCUCUCGCCCUCCUCCCCGAAGGCAAAGAGCGGGGACACCGUGUGACGCGAAUUACCACGGGCCCGUCGGUGGCCAUAAACGCAGCAUCGAGUUCUCCCCAAACAGACGGCGGCCUGCGCGCUGACGCGGGGCCUUUGCGGGCGACGUCUUGGACGCCCCUCAGAUGGAUGUGACGGAGCCACUUAUCUCGGAGUUUAUAGGCCGGUAAUGAAACAGUAACCGGAGUCGUUUGCGCGCUUUAAAGUGGGUGUUGAAGUGGAAAUGUGCAGCGAGGCUUGGUGGAGCAUUAAGGCCUGAAGUGCGGCGAGCUGUAAACUGUGUACUCUGGACUCUCCCCGGGAAUCCUGCCUCUCACAGCCCGCCGCGGGCGGAGGAAAACGUCGGCCCCCGGCGGGCUCGGAGGGGAGAAAGACGCGCCGGGCGCGCGACGUCACGUCUGCCGGACUUGGCUUCGGUCUGCAGAGCUCGUUUGGGUUUCGCUUCCCUCUGCUCCGUGCGAGCUAAAUAUAAACCGCGCUGCGUCCUUCCAACUGAGCCACAUCUGCAUUGCUUUACACGCCCCAUCUUUGAGUUUUUAACGACUCUUCAUGGAACGAUAUCUGUUUAAAUUCCUCAAAGCAGAUAUCAUUCCAGCAGCUUUAAAGGAAACUACGGCCCCUGAUCUGUAGUCCGAUCCCAAAGUUUCCACCCAAUUGUCUUGUUCUUGCCUCAUUUUCAGCCCAAACAUUUCGUCAGGGACAAAGAGCUGAAACACACUGACAGUUUCUUGGCGGCUGAAAAAAAAACACAAAAUCUAUCCAGAGGGAAAGAAAAACAAACAGCCUCUCCGAGUCAAUCAGCUUAAUGAAGGCGAUUAGGUUGAUGUUCUUAAUGAGACGAAGCCUCUUAGGGAGAGCCGUGUUACUACUGUCGAGAUAUAAACAGAUCCUUG
ensembl:lncRNA